UUCAAUGGAUCCAUAGCAGUGGAUGAGUGACCACUUGCUGUUAGAUGGACCAAUCGGAGUUGGAGCCUAUGAGGGAGCUGUGACCAACUAGAACCAAUAAGGAGUUAGAUGAACCAAUAACAGUUGGAAUCUACCGAGGGAGCUGAGUGAGCAAUGAGCGCGAGAGAUGACCGGGACCAAUGAUCUCUCUGAUGCAGCUUAACCAACCCACAGCUGGACUAGGAGGCCGUUGUACCAAAUAAAGGUUGAAAUCGACAAUUGUCGUGUGUCUUGUCUGAAGCUGCUGCCUGGUGCCGACAAAUUCAGGUUCUGCUUGUUGCGUCAAGCUUAUCGGAAUCAUCACGCUUCAUACCAGCAUUUUCGACAACUGUUCCACGUGAUGGGAGAGUUGAGGAUCUUCGUCUGAUCAAGUCAAGUACGGCGAUUUUGACAUCUACCACCUGUCAACAU